AUGGCGCAUGGUCCAGCCGGAUACCUGUCCGGCACUCCAAAGAAGGCAUCUGAAGGCUGGGCCUCGGAGUGGUUUUAUGUAGAUGACGUUCCCCUUCCGGACCCAAUCCGGACGAGACUUCCUGAGUUUAAUAACGCUCCGCUAAAGAAACGCCAAAGUUGGCGCCCUCGGAGCCCCCAGGAGGAAGAUUCCAGAGAAGUCCACUUCCUGAUGGGCAGGAUAAAGACACUGGCCCAAUCUGGACUGACAAUAGCAGAGGUUAUAUCAAUAUGCAUAAUGCGGGGGGUGCAGCCACUUGAAUAUUGGGGGAAGCCCAUGUGGCACUUCAACGGGGAAGACGAUGCCACCCGCUGCGGUCGUAAAGGUCUGGAUUCCGCCACUGCUCUGGCAAGAAUAAUGUCCGAUUUAUAUAAAGGAGAAGAAGAGGAGUUCCUUUGUAUCAAACCGCGGGAUGGAUUCUCCAUGUACAACUCCCCAAGAUGGGAACUAAGGAAGGCCGUGAAAGAGUUCAAUAGCCCCUCUCCAUAG
rnacentral:rRNA from 1 species